rnacentral:sRNA from 1 species
UCGGGCGCGGUUCGAAACCAUCCCGCGUUAUCAAAACUAAGGAGGA